CACCGCCCGUCACGUCAUGGGAGUCGGCAGCACCUGAAGCCGCUGCGCCAACCUUCGGGAGGCAGGCGUCGAGGGUGAGGCCGGCGACUGGGACG
rnacentral:rRNA from 1 species